rnacentral:tRNA from 1 species
CAGGGAGACACAAACUGAUCGUGAUGUCUAAGAAACUUUAUUAGACCAUGAUCCUGUCACCUUAGGUCGAUCGGUACCUCAGAUUUAGACGUUAAAUAAAAUAAUUUAUUUUAUUUGGCUUCAGAUUUCAGUUCCUAAACUUUGUCCAGGUCACACCCAACAAGGGUACUCCUGGGCCAUUAGCUCAGGUGGUUAGAGCGCACCCCUGAUAAGGGUGAGGUCCCUGGUUCAAGUCCAGGAUGGCCCAUUCGGUGUUGGGGGUAUAGCUCAGUUGGUAGAGCGCCUGCUUUGCAAGCAGGAUGUCAGCGGUUCGAGUCCGCUUACCUCCACUGAUACUGAUAGACCUCCUUAAUAACGAAAUCAAAGGAGAUUAACUCUGUUGGAUAUGAUUUAGACGUUGUUUUAUUUGAAUGAACCUAGCUUCUUAUCAUUCUUGGAUUUAUAAGCAUAUGGAUCUGGUUGAUAGGACGCUGGGCUCUCUACAUUCGAAAGAAUAGUAGUUAGUUCAGUAGAACCUUGACAACUGCAUAGGUGAGUCUGGAAAAGAAUAAAAGCAUCUCAUGGAUGCAUUUUAUCUAGCCAUGAUUUCAAAGCAUUAUUUAAUUAAUAAUGGUUUGAAAUCUUAAAUGGUUAUAGAUUGAAUGUUUAAUUCUUGAGCAAGAGCCGAGACUCUAUAAAAGUCCAUAAAUUGCAAUUUGCUUUUUAUGUAAUUUAUUAAUCUAAUUAAUGAAUUUAUUGUUUUUUAAAGACAUGACUUUGUAGAGAUAAAU